ensembl:lncRNA
GCGAAGGGAAAAGAAAGACACCGAGGAAGAGAUGGCACACUUUUCUGCCUCAAGUCAUCUCAGUGAUGGAUUACUUCAUUUAGAAGUGAGGAAAGGCGAAGCCUAAAUAAGUGCGACUCCUGAUGAAGUGGUCACUAAAGUGGGAGGGAGGAGGUGCAGGGAAUCCAGGUGGCCCGUGACGUUCACCGGCAGAGGUCUGUGAGGGUCUAAUGAGGAAUUCCAGACUCAGGACUGGACAUCCAGCUGCAGACUCCCCUGUCUCCCAGUGCCUUUUGUUCUGGGGACCCCGACGUAGCCUUGAAUGCAGGUCACUGCAGGUUACUGACAAAGCUUGGUGAAAGGGGCGUUUUGUGAGCAUGUCUGAAAGAAGUGCAUACAAUUAAAAAUAGCCUGCCCUCCUGUCAAUGUAUCGCCAUUAAAAACAGCUGGGUUGGGCUUCUGC